rnacentral:rRNA from 1 species
AUUGAACGCUGGCGGCAGGCCUAACACAUGCAAGUCGAACGAGUGGCGGACGGGUGAGUAAUGUCUGGGAAACUGCCUGAUGGAGGGGGAUAACGACUGGAAACGGUAGCUAAUACCGCAUACCAUCAGAUGGGCCCAGAGGGGAUUAGCUAGUUGGUGGGGGAACGGAUUACCAAGGCGACGAUCCCUAUCGGGUCUGAGAGGAGGACCAGCCACACUGGAACUGAGAUACGGUCCAGACUCCUACGGGGGGCAGCAGUGGGGAAUAGUGCACAAUGGGCGAAACCUUGAUGCAGCCAUGCCGCGUGUAUGAAGAAGGCCGGCGGGUUGUAAAGUACUUUCGGCGGAGAGGCGUUAACUGCAGAAGAAGCACCGGCUAACUCCGUGCCAGCAGCCGCGGUAAUAC